rnacentral:rRNA from 1 species
GGCAACAUACCUGGUUGCGGGGACCUCCUGUCAGACAUACGGUACCGGGCGCAAUGGUAACACCUUGCAGCCUACUGGUCAUAAUCCGUAUGGUAGGGACAAUCCGCAGCGGAUCCGGCAAUGGCUGGACCGUUCAACGCUCGCUAAGGUAUGGGCCCUGCAAUGGCGGGGCUUAAGGUACGAGCUACUCCCACCGGAAACGGUGCCCCUGAUGAACGGCCGUGCAUGGCUGCAAGUCAGGGGAGGCACGACGACUCGCUCUCGUGCUGGGUAUUGAGGUAGGGUUCUAUUCCGGAGAGGGAGCCUGAGAAACGGCUACCACAUCCAAGGAAGGCAGCAGGCGCGCAAAUUACCCAAUCCCGACACGGGGAGGUAGUGACAAUAAAUACUGAUACAGGGCUCUUUUGGGUCUUGUAAUUGGAAUGAGUACAAUUUAAAUCCCUUAACGAGGAACAAUUGGAGGGCAAGUCUGGUGAACUCUUCAGUUCUUGCUGACGCCAGAAAUAGUAGGAUCCCACUACUAGUCGAGCACCCUUACCGUGAUAGGCGGGUGCCGGCAAGACAACCUGGAUCGGGGGAAGCUACGGGCCCAUGGCCUAUGCUAAUCCCGAGCGGAGCUUCGAGAGGAGCCCGUGUAGAGCGCGCAAAGGUGUCGGCUGCAUUGCAGCUUAAGGUACGUGCCAUACCCACACGAAAGUGUGUCUGUAACCCGAGCACCUAUCAUGCAAAGGUUAUAGAAGAUCUUGUAUAGAUCAGGAGAUAAUUAGGCCAGCAGCCGCGGUAAUUCCAGCUCCAAUAGCGUAUAUUAAAGUUGUUGCAGUUAAAAAGCUCGUAGUUGAACCUUGGGCCUGGCUGGCCGGUCCGCCUCACCGCGUGCACUGGUCCGGCCGGGCCUUUCCUUCUGGGGAGCCGCAUGCCCUUUACUGGGUGUGUCGGGGAACCAGGAC